UACGUAGGGUGCGAGCGUUGUCCGGAAUUAUUGGGCGUAAAGAGCUCGUAGGCGGUGUGUCGCGUCGGCUGUGAAAACCUGCAGCUUAACUGUGGGCUUGCGGUCGAUACGGGCAUCACUGGAGUUCGGCAGGGGGAGACUGGAAUUCCUGGUGUAGCGGUGAAAUGCGCAGAUAUCAGGAGGAACACCGGUGGCGAAGGCGGGGUCUCUGGGCCGUUACUGACGCUGAGGAGCGAAAAGCGUGGGGGAGCGAACAGG
rnacentral:rRNA from 1 species